AGUCAUUCCUGAGAGAUUCAAACCUUAUGAUCUACAAGCCUCAGAGACCUGGCGAACACAGCACAAUCUCUUGUUUGGAAUGUAUAUCAAAUUGAAUGGAAUCACGCUGAGAAGACCGGUGGCUUCAGUCUUUAUUAAGGAAAUUUAUCUCUCUUUACCUGGGUUCUGCCCUCUGAAAUGAAGAACAGCAAUGAAAUUUAAAUCAUCUAGGGUCCCAGAACGUAUGGCAAAAGGAGCAAACACUUUGUUCGACAGAUAAAAAGCUUUUAAAACGUGGACUUGAUCAUGUCUCUUUGACAUCCUCCCACAUUCUCUUCAGGAGAUACACCUCACAACGUCUGGAGACACCUUUGGUUGUCGUAAUUGAAGAAGGCUCCUGGCGUGGAGCAGAAAAUGGCAGGGACGGUGCUCACUGUCGCACAAGAGCAACGUCAUGGAAUUAUCAGGUCCCAAUGUGACAAGUUCGGAAAAUCUUGGUCAGAAGAAUCCAUUGCAGAGAAGGAGAAUGAAAAAAUAAGAGAAAUGUGGUAACUGAUAGAGCAAAAUCAGGAAGAAGAAGGAAGAGAGAAGAUUAAAAAAAAAAUCAUCCUUAAAAAAAUUACCCUUAGAAAAGCUUUAUCAAGAACUCUUUGCUCAUUUGCCUUUCAUUUUUUUAUAGACAUAAAGACUAAAGCUCAAAGAGUUUAAAUGACCUUAUCCUUUCAAAGCCUAGCAGAUACCUAAUUCAAAUCUUUGAGCUCCUAAUUUGAUGUUCUUUUAAUUACGCCAUAUUAUAUUUUAAGUGCAAGACUGCCAUAAAACAAUUAUUUUGUGAAAAAUUUAAUGAUGUACCUAUUGAUUUUAUGUUUCCACAAACAACAUACUUGGAGUUCCUGUUGUGGCUCAGUGGUAAUGAACCUGACUAGUAUCCAUGAGGACACAGGUUUGAUCCUUGGCCCCAGUCAAUGGGUUAAGGAUCUGGCAUUGCCAUGAGCUGUGGUAUAGGUUGCAGUUGCUGCUCGGAUCCCUCAUUGUGGCUGUGGGGUAGGCCGGCAGCCGCAGCUCCAAUUCCACCUCUAGUCGGGGAACUUACAUAUGCUGUGGGUAUGGCCGUAAAAAGAAAAAUCAAAACAAAUCAAAAAGGAAGACAUUAAAUACACUGUUUUUAUUUUAUUAUUGUAUUGUAUUUAUUUUAUUGUCUUUUUAGGGCUGUACCUGGGGCAUAUGGAAGUUCCCAGGUCAAAUGGGAGUCACAGCCACCAGCCUCCUCCACUGCCACAGCAACACCAGAUCUGUCUGAGCCGUAUCUGUGAGCUACACCACAACCUGCGGCAACUCCGGAACCUCAACCCACCGAGAGGGUCCAGGAAUGGAGCUCGUGUUCUCAUGGAUACGGUUGGGUUCUUAACCUGCUGAACCAAAAUGGGAGUUCCUUCAUGCCUUCCUUUUUAUUGCAGGAAAGAAAAAUGUCCGUAUAUUGGAAAGGAAUUAACUAAGAAGUAUGUAUUUGGCAAAAUUGGCAUCAAAUACACUCCCAAUAUUGGCGCUUGCAAAAGAACAGUGUAAAAGUUGUAUGAUCUUUUCAAUAACAUUUAAUCACACAUAAUUUACUCCAGAAUUUCUGGUAAUUUCAUAGUUUAAUGAAUUACACAUAAUUCUUCAAAGACUUUGUAAAACACAAACUAAAAUUGUAGACAAUAGUAUUAGAUUGCCACAUUUCUGCAAAUUGGUACUUAAGGAAAAUAAAUGUAUGACACUGAAAACCGGAGUCUUCGCCUAGCAGAGAAAAAGGUGAAACUCAAGGAUCCUUAUCCCAUUCUUCACACCGUUGCUGCCACAAAGGCAAAAUCAACGACAGAAGAGCAGUAACAGUUUCACUAUGAAACUGGGAACAUGAACGACAACUAGAAAAAGAAAUCAUCGUAUUUCUUCAGUUACAAAUAACUGAAUGUGCAAGGGCAGCAGAAACAGGCAGAGCAGCGGAAUCCUCUCGAGACUGAGGGCUGACCUGUGCCGCUGUGGGCCUGGCCAGCUCGGGAAGUGCUGCCACGUGAGCAAGCCAACCGAGUGGGGUGCCGGGGUGCCCACAGACCUCGGCAAUUAGGCGCCUUCCCGGGAAGGAAACAGCUGGUGGCCAGAGCCACUGACAUCCUGCAGCACUUCUCUUUAUUUCUGGUUUUCCAACACUUUGGUAGAGGCCAUGUGUCAUCUUAAUUGUCUUCUCCUGGUCACUGUAGGCACUUGGGCACACCGAUUCAUUCGCAACUCACUAGCAAUGCUAACUCCUUAACACAAACCUUACUAACAUAUUAAGGAGUCAAGUCAACCAAUAGUGCUUCUUCGCUCCCCUUGGCACCAGAAGAAGACUUCACUGCUGCAGUGUUGUUGAUUGCAAAAGGGCAGUGUUUUCUGGAACCAUACAGCCUGCGUUUGAGUUCAUACUCACCCACACUGAGAUACUGGCAAAUUUAACCUCAGUCUCACUUUCUUCCUCUGUAAAACGGGGAUGGUAACAGUGCGUGAAUAGUAAGGCUAUUGUGAGGACGGAAUGGAAUGCUCCAGGAAGUGCCUGGGCCAGGAAACGGGGUACUGCAAGCCUCUAUAAACGUUAGUUAAUGCCAGUCUCCUUCUGGUACGAUUUCUCCUAAAUGUCAGUGACAGUGUAAUUUUGUCUCGUUGUUACGUCAGAGCCUUCCUCACCGUCUUCCUAAUGAAGUCUGCCUAUAGCUAUAAUCUGCCCCCAAACUGCUUGUUUUUCAUUAAUGGUCUGCUCAAACUGUAAUGGCUUUCUCACUGGUUUUCCUCCAUAAACCCUGUCCUCUAAGGAAUGCUGUUGUUUCCGCUCUCUAUCUCAGGCCUAUCUGUCCACUAAAUUCCAACCACCUGAGGAAGUAUUUUCUGAAUGUUCCCACCCAAUGGGAUUUCUUUCAAAUCUAAAAUCCUACAAAAUAACUGCCCACAUUAGCAAUAUUAUCCAUAAAAUACAUUUUCUUGUCCAUAUCGUAAUUUAUGUUUAAAAAAUAUUACAUGCACUGCUUCGAGUACCUUCUGUUUUCAAAGCAUUAGUGUCGACACAUAUUAACAAAACAGUAAGAGAUAAUCUCUAUUUCGAUUGUCCUUACAACUAGCAGGGUAAGAAGAUAAAACAAACAUCUCUUCUACCACAAAUAUAAAUGUCACUACUCUUCCAAGAAUUUUUUUUCUAUCUCCCCACCUGGAUGUAAACAUUCCUUCCUUUUAACCUCCGCAGCUGUUUAUUCUUUUCCUUGACUUUUGAAAUAAGUCUAAAGAGUAGGUGAAAUUUGGAGGAAAGAGUAUAAAUAGAAAAAAAUACUGCAAGUGUAUCAGAAAGAAAGAGUGUAAUGCAAAUGACAAAAAGAGGCUUUAGAGACAGAUCUAGAUUCAAAUUCUGGAUUUUGGUGCUAGCAGUUAACUGAUUUUACGAGUGUCAUUCACUCUCCUUCGGUUUAUUUCUCUGUAAAUGUGGAUAAGAUACCUCAUCUGAAACAUUGUGAGACUAAAAUGGGAAAUGUCCUAUAAAGUAGAAGAGAAGUGCUCAAAAAAUUGUUUUCUAUAAUAACGUAAAAAAGAAUCUUGAGUCUGUACAGGUAAUCUAAGGAGGAAGGGGUGAGUUAGCCCAAGGCUGAAAGAAGGUGGAAAUGAAAACAGGGGUAAAAGUUAGGUUUAAAGGAAGUUGGGGAUAAAAAGUGAAGGUCCCUUUUUAGCGACAGGUACAGCUGAGGAAUUUCCAUGAACAGUGAUGUCUGAUGCUCAGUUGUAUGCUAUUCGCUUAACAGUGAGGAUGUAAACACUCUUUUCUAACCUUGAUCUUUAAGUAAAGUUUCCAAACCAAACUGACUCUCUUUCUCACGUGGGUGAAUGUCCAGGAAGAAUGGAGAAAACAAUCCAUACGGGAGGAGACGCCAGAAAAAUCUAAGGAAAGUAAGAAAUCAGAGUAAGAGAGAAAUUGUAAAUCCUUGAGAUAUCAUGGUAGAAUUUGAAAAUUUAUGUGACAUGGAAUCUGUAAUUAAAGUUACUCAUUUGUUAUGACCGUAGUA
rnacentral:lncRNA from 1 species